rnacentral:rRNA from 1 species
AGUGAACGCUGGCGGUAGGCCUAACACAUGCAAGUCGAACGGCAGCACAGUAAGAGCUUGCUCUUACGGGUGGCGAGUGGCGGACGGGUGAGGAGUACAUCGGAAUCUACUUUUUCGUGGGGGAUAACGUAGGGAAACUUACGCUAAUACCGCAUACGACCUACGGGUGAAAGCAGGGGAUCUUCGGACCUUGCGCGAUUGAAUGAGCCGAUGUCGGAUUAGCUAGUUGGCGGGGUAAAGGCCCACCAAGGCGACGAUCCGUAGCUGGUCUGAGAGGAUGAUCAGCCACACUGGAACUGAGACACGGUCCAGACUCCUACGGGAGGCAGCAGUGGGGAAUAUUGGACAAUGGGCGCAAGCCUGAUCCAGCCAUACCGCGUGGGUGAAGAAGGCCUUCGGGUUGUAAAGCCCUUUUGCUGGGAAAGAAAAGCAGCAGGUUAAUACCCCGCUGUUCUGACGGUACCCAAAGAAUAAGCACCGGCUAACUUCGUG